CAAUAGCGUAUAUUAAAGUUGUUGCAGUUAGAACGCUCGUAGUCGGAUUUCGGGGCAGUCCGACCGGUCUGCCGAUGGGUAUGCACUGGCCGGAGUGUCCUUUUUGCCGGAGACCGUGCCUACUCUUAACUGGGCGGGGGCGGGAGACGGCACUUUUACUUUGAAAAAAUCAGAGUGUUUCAAGCAGGCAGCUCGCUCUUGCAUGGAUUAGCAUGGGAUAAUGAAAUAGGACUUUGGUGCUAUUUUGUUGGUUUCGAACACCGAAGUAAUGAUGAGAAGGGACAGUCAGGGGCACUCGUAUUCCGCAGAGAGAGGUGAAAUUCUCAGACCCGCGGAAGACGAACCACUGCGAAAGCAUUUGCCAGGGAUGUUUUCACUGA
rnacentral:rRNA from 1 species